rnacentral:lncRNA from 1 species
CUAGAAACAUAAUGCCAGUUGCAGUGUGUAUGUUGCUAAGCUGCUGCUGAUGCCAGUUGUUUACGGUGCAGAAAUUAAUAAAAGAGGAUGGUGGUUAAGAAAAUAAGAACUUAUGAUGAGCAGCACAAAAAGCAGGAUAUUGACAGCACGUACGGAGGCUAUCUCGAACGCGCCGGGGCGUGCAACUUUGUAGCCGAUGUGGCGCCAGUCGCCGUCGCCUGAAAUGCACAAUGCAAGGACCAGAAUGCAUUUGAGUUCUGUUAUCAUGCAACAAAGGGCAAGAAAGAGACGCAUGCACAUUUCCAAGUCCAAUUCCAGCAGGCUGUUGAGUACUGAAUAACGCUCUUCAAGAACAAUAAUCUGAUAGAGUCGGUAAAGGAUACGAGAAGGACAUUCAGAACCCCAACCUACUAGUGUUAAAUCGCAGAUGCCACAUUCAAUUCACAAAAAUAGGACACGGCAUACUUCCAGAGGUACUAGAGGAAUGGAGGAAUCAGUGAUAUUAGGCUGUAGCAAACCUGCAGGGUCAAGCACCCAUCUUACUGAAGAACCAACGGUUGAUGAGCCAUCAGAGAGGCUGGAAC